AAAAAAAAAAAAAAAAAAAAAAUGCAAAUGACAUGAGCAGAUUGGAUUUUUUGUCUUCUAGCUGAACUAUUUUGUCCACUUUGUGCUUGCACAUAGACAAAACAAAAU
rnacentral:sRNA from 11 species